CCUACGGGAGGCAGCAGUGGGGAAUUUUGGACAAUGGACGAAAGUCUGAUCCAGCAAUGCCGCGUGCAGGACGAAGGCCUUCGGGUUGUAAACUGCUUUUGUACGGAACGAAAAAGUCUGCCUUAAUACGGUGGGCUCAUGACGGUACCGUAAGAAUAAGCACCGGCUAACUACGUGCCAGCAGCCGCGGUAAUACGUAGGGUGCAAGCGUUAAUCGGAAUUACUGGGCGUAAAGCGUGCGCAGGCGGUUAUAUAAGUCAGAUGUGAAAUCCCCGGGCUCAACCUGGGACCUGCAUUUGAGACUGUAUAGCUAGAGUACGGUAGAGGGGGAUGGAAUUCCGCGUGUAGCAGUGAAAUGCGUAGAUAUGCGGAGGAACACCGAUGGCGAAGGCAAUCCCCUGGACCUGUACUGACGCUCAUGCACGAAAGCGUGGGGAGCAAACAGGAUUAGAUACCCUGGUAGUCCACGCCCUAAACGAUGUCAACUGGUUGUUGGGUCUUCACUGACUCAGUAACGAAGCUAACGCGUGAAGUUGACCGCCUGGGGAGUACGGCCGCAAGGUUGAAACUUAAAUGAAUUGACGG
rnacentral:rRNA from 1 species